GCAGUUCUGUUGUGGUUCUGCUGGUACCUCAUCCAGGAUCCGGUUCUUGGCUCUGGUGAUGGCCAUGUUCAGGAUGUUGAUCCAGGAGUCCUUCUCCUCCGGGCUGACGGCCAGGAACACCUGGUUGGGCACCUGCAGCAAAGGAGGCACACCUGUCCAGCUAAAGCUGCUCCACUCGGUUUGGCCCCGCCCACCUGAAUGAUGUCAUAAUGGACGCAGCGCUGUACAGGUGACUUACUGCUAAUGCUAACUGCUAAUGCAACCAGCGCUGCACAAUAAAUGAUUCAGGUGUGUGACCUGUCUCCAGGUGUGUGACGUGUCUCCAGGUGUGUGACCUGUCUCCAGGUGUGUGACGUGUCUCCAGGUGUGUGACCUGUCUCCAGGUGUGUGACGUGUCUCCAGGUGUGUGACCUGUCUCCAGGUGUGUGACCUGUCUCCAGCGUUCGUAGUCGGACAGGUCCAGAACUUCGUCGGCCCGACCCAGUUCCUUCACCUGGACACACACAGGAAGUACCGGUAACUGACUGAGGAGGCGGAGCCUGGAGGAUUGAUGUGGAAAAAUUACAGUUAGGUUUCACCUGCUAGUUGUAUUGCGAUAUGUUUAUUCUAAGUUCUGUAUAUUCCCACCAAGUUAAAGCUGUUUGGGUUUCAUGCACAAGGUUGGACCUUGUUUUUCCAGCUGCAUGGGAACCAGUCUGAUUCCCAGGCUUUGGGUCCCUUAUCCCUUUGUACAAAACUCAUGUGUUGUCUCUGCCUGGCAGAGCUUUCUGUUUCAGACUUGCUUCAUUAUUGAUUGUCCUGUGAGCUCUC